GAUGAACGCUGGCGGCGUGCCUAAUACAUGCAAGUCGAGCGAACGGACGAGAAGCUUGCUUCUCUGAUGUUAGCGGCGGACGGGUGAGUAACACGUGGAUAACCUACCCAUAAGACUGGGAUAACUUCGGGAAACCGGAGCUAAUACCGGAUAAUAUUUUGAACCGCAUGGUUCAAAAGUGAAAGACGGUCUUGCUGUCACUUAUAGAUGGAUCCGCGCUGCAUUAGCUAGUUGGUAAGGUAACGGCUUACCAAGGCAACGAUGCAUAGCCGACCUGAGAGGGUGAUCGGCCACACUGGAACUGAGACACGGUCCAGACUCCUACGGGAGGCAGCAGUAGGGAACCUUCCGCAAUGGGCGAAAGCCUGACGGAGCAACGCCGCGUGAGUGAUGAAGGUCUUCGGAUCGUAAAACUCUGUUAUUAGGGAAGAACAUAUGUGUAAGUAACUGUGCACAUCUUGACGGUACCUAAUCAGAAAGCCACGGCUAACUACGUGCCAGCAGCCGCGGUAAUACGUAGGUGGCAAGCGUUAUCCGGAAUUAUUGGGCGUAAAGCGCGCGUAGGCGGUUUUUUAAGUCUGAUGUGAAAGCCCACGGCUCAACCGUGGAGGGUCAUUGGAAACUGGAAAACUUGAGUGCAGAAGAGGAAAGUGGAAUUCCAUGUGUAGCGGUGAAAUGCGCAGAGAUAUGGAGGAACACCAGUGGCGAAGGCGACUUUCUGGUCUGUAACUGACGCUGAUGUGCGAAAGCGUGGGGAUCAAACAGGAUUAGAUACCCUGGUAGUCCACGCCGUAAACGAUGAGUGCUAAGUGUUAGGGGGUUUCCGCCCCCUAGUGCUGCAGCUAACGCAUUAAGCACUCCGCCUGGGGAGUACGACCGCAAGGUUGAAACUCAAAGGAAUUGACGGGGACCCGCACAAGCGGUGGAGCAUGUGGUUUAAUUCGAAGCAACGCGAAGAACCUUACCAAAUCUUGACAUCCUUUGACAACUCUAGAGAUAGAGCUUUCCCCUUCGGGGGACAAAGUGACAGGUGGUGCAUGGUUGUCGUCAGCUCGUGUCGUGAGAUGUUGGGUUAAGUCCCGCAACGAGCGCAACCCUUAAGCUUAGUUGCCAUCAUUAAGUUGGGCACUCUAAGUUGACUGCCGGUGACAAACCGGAGGAAGGUGGGGAUGACGUCAAAUCAUCAUGACCCUUAUGAUUUGGGCUACACACGUGCUACAAUGGACAAUACAAAGGGCAGCGAAACCGUGAGGUCAAGCAAAUCCCAUAAAGUUGUUCUCAGUUCGGAUUGUAGUCUGCAACUCGACUACAUGAAGCUGGAAUCGCUAGUAAUCGUAGAUCAGCAUGCUACGGUGAAUACGUUCCCGGGUCU
rnacentral:rRNA from 1 species